AUGAGGCUCCAACUUGAUACGGAAAUUCCAAGCAAAUACACAAUAUGUAGUACAAGACCAUUCUGGUCUAUGAGUACAACAAAUGGUUUCUACUGGUUGAUGGCGGAAGCGUGUUGUGAAACAUCAGUGUCCAUGGAACUCCAUUUCCCACGGGAACAGCUGACCAGGUUAACUCCUAUCUUUGCGAGGCUGCUAUUACAGUUGCAUGGGUUCUGGGCUGUCAUCACGGUCGCUCCUCUCCGCGCAAGAAAUCUGGCCAAGACAAUAGCCAGGGACAAGCCAGUGAGUACUUUGAAUGUACUCGCAAACAUUAUGAACACAGGAAUAACAUAA
rnacentral:rRNA from 1 species